UACGUAGGUGACCAGCGUUGUCCGGAUUUACUGGGCGUAAAGUGUGCGCAGGCGGCCGAGCAAGUCGAGUGUGAAAGCCCCGAGCUUAACUUGGGAACUGCGCUCGAAACUACUUGGCUAGAGUGUGGCAGAGGGAGGUGGAAUUCCACGUGUAGCGGUGAAAUGCGUAGAGAUGUGGAGGAACACCGAUGGCGAAGGCAGCACUCUGGGACGUGACUGACGCUGAGACGCGAAAGCGUGGGGAGCAAACAGG
rnacentral:rRNA from 1 species